AUUGAACGCUGGCGGCAGGCCUAACACAUGCAAGUCGAACGGUAGCACAGAGAGCUUGCUCUCGGGUGACGAGUGGCGGACGGGUGAGUAAUGUCUGGGAAACUGCCCGAUGGAGGGGGAUAACUACUGGAAACGGUAGCUAAUACCGCAUAAUGUCGCAAGACCAAAGAGGGGGACCUUCGGGCCUCUUGCCAUCGGAUGUGCCCAGAUGGGAUUAGCUUGUUGGUGAGGUAAUGGCUCACCAAGGCGACGAUCCCUAGCUGGUCUGAGAGGAUGACCAGCCACACUGGAACUGAGACACGGUCCAGACUCCUACGGGAGGCAGCAGUGGGGAAUAUUGCACAAUGGGCGCAAGCCUGAUGCAGCCAUGCCGCGUGUGUGAAGAAGGCCUUCGGGUUGUAAAGCACUUUCAGCGGGGAGGUAGGCGAUACGGUUAAUAACCGUGUUGAUUGACGUUACCCGCAGAAGAAGCACCGGCUAACUCCGUG
rnacentral:rRNA from 1 species